rnacentral:rRNA from 1 species
GGGGGGGGGGGGGGGGGGGGGGGGAGGGGGGGGGGGGAGGGGAGGGGCGUGGGGGGGUGGGGUGCUCGGGGGGCGAACGGGGGGGGAAGGGGGGGGUGAGCGGGCCGGGACGUGGGGGUAGGUUCAGGAAACUGGGGGGAGGACCGGAGAGGAGACGCUGGUGCAGGGUGGGGGUUGGGAAGAUUCCGCGGGUGGGGUUGGAGUCGCGGCUGAUCAGCGUGUUGUGGGGGUAGUGGCUUACCAAGGGCUUGACGCGUAGCCGGCCUGCGGGGGUGACCGGCCCCAUUGGGACUGAGAUGCGGCCCAGACUCCUACGGGAGGCAGCAGUGGGGAAUAUUGCACCAUGGGCGGAAGCCUGAUGCAGCACCGCCGCGUGCGGGAUGACGGCCUUCGGGUUGUAAACCGCUUUCGCCUGUGACGAAGCGUGAUUGACGGUAAUGGGUAAAGAAGCACCGGCUAACUACGUG